rnacentral:lncRNA from 1 species
CCGGAGCCCCGGGAACCGCCCCGGAUCCCAGCCUCGCCCUGGACCGCCCACCGCGAUGUGAGACAAGCUGAGAGAAAUCGACUUGUGAGUCUAGAACUGAGAAAAUGGGGGGAAAUACUCGAAAACCGGGAAUAAGAAGGAGAGAAACCGAGCUCAAGCCAAAGAAGAAAAUUGGGCCGAGUUUCAUUCAACCCCACAGGAAUAUGAGAGAAGAUAGCAGAUGAUGAGAACAAUCCACAGCAGCAUCUAACUAGAUCAAGAUCAGUUACAUGACAAGGGCGAAAAGGAUUGGAAAGAAGAUGUGUCCAAUUAAAUUGGUUCACCAAGGAACUGUUUUUAAUCCAUCUUACUUCUUUAGUAAUUCAAUGACUUUUAGACCAUUUACAAACUUUAAUUUUCCUACUGCUUCUCUAAGAUCCUUCAUUGUCUAACAAGUUGAUACAUUAUGAAACAAAAUGAAUUGUAUCAACACUGAUAUUCCCAAUAUAAAUAAAACCAGA